UGCGGAGUGGAGCAAUUGGUAGCUCGUCGGGCUCAUAACCCGAAGGUCACAGGUUCGAAUCCUGUCUCCGCUA
rnacentral:tRNA from 1 species